GAUGAACGCUAGCGGCAGGCUUAAUACAUGCAAGUCGAGGGGCAUCAAGGUACACGAAAGUGUAUUGUUGGCGACCGGCGGACGGGUGAGUAAUAGGUAGGUAACCUACCUCAUACUGAGGCAUAGCUGGGAGAAAUUCCAGGUAAUUCCUCAUGAGGUUAUAUGACACAUGUGAUAUAAUCAAAGGUAUCGCAAGGUACUGGUAUGAGAUGGGCUUACUGACCAUUAGCUAGUUGGUGAGAUAAGAGCUCACCAAGGCGAAGAUGGUUAGGGGUUUUGAGAGAGAGAUCCCCCACAUUGGAACUGAGAUACGGUCCAGACUCCUACGGGAGGCAGCAGUAGGGAAUAUUGGGCAAUGGGCGGAAGCCUGACCCAGCCAUGCCGCGUGAAGGAGACGGCCUUAUGGGUUGUAAACUUCUUUACUAUGCGACUAACUAGAUUUACGAGAUAAUUCUAUAGAAUGUAGCAUAGCAAAAAGCACCGGA
rnacentral:rRNA from 1 species